rnacentral:lncRNA from 1 species
GGUAAUCUAUAUAUAUAUAUAGAGAGAGAGAGAGAGAGAGAGAGAGAGAGAGAGAGAGAGAGAGAGAGAGAGAGAGAGAGAGAGAGAGAGAGAGAGAGAGAGAGAGAGAGAGACCCAAGCCAAGAGAAGGGGGGAGGAGAGAGAGCAGGUGAGUGACGGAGAGAUGCAGAGAGGGAUGGAGAGAGAGGGAGUGAUGGCUGUGUUUGGUCUCCCUCUCUCGCCCGUCCUCCCUCCCUGCAGGCUUGUCAUCCUCAUACGACCAGACACUGAUGGUGGCGGAGGGGCCUAUUAAUAGAUAGUCAGUAUCUCUCUCUCUCUCUCUCUCUCUCUCUCUCUCUCUCUCUCUCUCUCUCUCUCUCUCUCUCUCAGCCAACACACUGGACCACUGUGUGGCCGUACCGGGGAGAGCAUGUGGCGAGAGCAUUGGAGAGAGAGAGCAUGAGAGGCAGAUAGAGAGAUACUGUGGGAGAGAGGGGGAGAGGGAGACGACACUGUGAAAGGGGGAGACACUUAUAGGGGACAGAGGGGGGGGGGGAAGGGAUAGAUGGAGGAGAGGGGAGAGAGAUAGAGAAAGAGAGGUAGAUAUGAAUCAGAUAGGGAGUACAGUAUAGGACACUGAGGUUGAAGAGAGAGAGAGGGAGAUAAGAAACAUGGAGGGAGAUAGAUAUAUGAGCCUGAGGUGGAAGACAGGGAGAGAUAGAGAGAGAGAGGAGGAGGAUCCUAAACUGUAUUUUAUGUGUGCAGAUGGAGAGAGAGCGAUAGCGAGAGACCGAUGAGAGAAGGAGGAAUGCAAAUGAAAAAACACACCUCACAUGUUUAGCUUUACAUAGAAGAAAGGGAGAGAGGGAGGAAAAGGGAGCUAGAGAGAGAGAGAGAGAGAGAGAGAGAGAGAGAGAGAGAGAGAGAGAGAGAGAGAGAAGAAGGAACAGCAUCAGAGGGAAGCGGAGGAAUGUACCGGGGGGCUGCGGACCAUCCGUCAGGAGCCUGCAGCGAGACCCGCCGGGACCACUGAGACCUCCCCCGGGACGGUCCCCAGACCUGGAGCCAGGACUCUCUACCUCCGCGCUGUGGGCAGAUCAUCUCCCAGGACCUCCGACGAGCGGCGCGGUGAA